CAAGAAGCUCUGAAAAGGAAACAGGUCCUUCGACCCUCUGCAGAUGUGUUCUCUCUUUCUCCAUCUAAACUGCCACGCACGAGUAUUGGAAGGAGAGGGCUCUUUGGAAUGAGGUCUUCAACUUACCCUAAGUACACCUUCAAUGACCGAGAAGAAGUCGUCAAAGCCAACAUCAGAGAUCCCUUGCAAAUCAUCAAAAUAGUGCAUGAGAACGAACACCUCGGAUUCCUGUACAUGAUUCCUGCAGUGCCCAAGUCUUCCAUUGAAUAUGACACAUAUAAUCUAAAGUGAGUUCUCUUUUAUGAACCAAUGCAUUUAGGUUAACAGAUCUCAAAUAAGACUGUAAGUUUGAUCUGUAACUGACUUGGUACUAAUGAUAAAAAUGAUCCAAAGUAAGUCUGAUUAUCUCCCAGUUAUAAGUAAAUCCUCAUACAGUAA
rnacentral:lncRNA from 1 species